GGAACUGUUUUCGGCUACUGAGCCCGUGCGGUCGGUCAAAUCUUUCACUGGCUGUAACUCCCGAACCCCUGGUCCGAUCUGGGUGAAUUUUGAGUAUGUUGCUCACCCAGGUCAGGGCUACCAGGGGACCCCUUAUUUUACCCUGUAUCCCCUGUCUUUGGGGGUGAUCCAGAAUAUGGGGAAAAAUUUAUACAUUUUAAUUGUGUUAAUGCUUAAUCUAAGGGGAGGAGAGGUAGGGGAGGUGACU